ACUGAUUUAGCAUAUUUAAAUGUGUUGGGCUGUAAACCCAUUGAAAGUUUUAACUAAUCAGAA
rnacentral:tRNA from 1 species